rnacentral:lncRNA from 1 species
GCGGGCCACCGGGCCAAGGUCGUGCCAGGUUAGUAGCAAGCCUAUAUUUUCUUUUUUUUGUUUAGAAUUAGCAGGCUACAUUUCUUAAUAGGCCAAUUUUGUUUAGAAUUAGGCCAAUCAGGAUGGAUGGAUGGACUAACAGACCUACAUUUUCUCUUUUUUAGAUUUAAAAAACUAUAUUUUUUACUGGGCCAUUAAGCACCGGGCCGUCGGGCCGUGCCUGAGCCGUGCCACGGG